rnacentral:rRNA from 1 species
UACGUAGGUGGCGAGCGUUGUCCGGAUUUAUUGGGCGUAAAGCGCGCGUAGGCGGGAUGAUAAGUCUCUUGUAAAAGUGCGGGGCUCACCCCCGUAAUGCGGGAGAAACUGUCAUUCUUGAGUGCAGGAGAGGAAAGUGGAAUUCCCAGUGUAGCGGUGAAAUGCGUAGAUAUUGGGAGGAACACCAGUGGCGAAGGCGACUUUCUGGCCUGUGUCUGACGCUGAGGAGCGAAAGCCAGGGGAGC